AUGCUCACUUUGGCAGCAUAUAUACUAAAAUUGAAAUGUUACAGAGAAGAAUAGCAUGGACUCUGUGUAUGGAUGACAUGCAAAUUUGUGAAGCAUUUCAUAUUAAA
rnacentral:snRNA from 1 species